UUGGAGGGCAAGUCUGGUGCCAGCAGCCGCGGUAAUUCCAGCUCCAAUAGCGUAUAUUAAAGUUGUUGCAGUUAAAAAGCUCGUAGUUGAAUUUCGGGAUCAAUGUUUCGGUCAUGCCGUUGGUAUGUACUGAUAUUAUUGAUUUCUCACCUUCUAAAGAACCGUAAUGCCAUUAAUUUGGUGUCACGGGGAAUUAGGACUGUUACCUUGAAAAAAUUAGAGUGUUUAAAGCAGGCUCACGCUUGAAUACAUUAGCAUGGAAUAGUGAAAUAGGACAUCCGAUUCUAUUUUGUUGGUUUCUAGGAUCGAUGUAAUGAUUAAUAGGGAUAGUUGGGGGCACUAGUAUUCAAUUGUCAGAGGUGAAAUUCUUGGAUUUAUUGAAGACUAACUACUGCGAAAGCAUUUGCCAAGGAUGUUUUCAUUAAUCAAGAACGAAAGUUAGGGGAUCGAAGACGAUCAGAUACCGUCGUAGUCUUAACCAUAAACUAUGCCGACUAGGGAUCGGAUGAUGUUAAUUUUUUAAUGACUCAUUCGGCGCCUUACGGGAAACCAAAGUGUUUGGGUUC
rnacentral:rRNA from 1 species